rnacentral:misc_RNA from 1 species
UAUCGAACCACUACACCUGAUUCCAUCAUUGAAUCUGGCUCUGAUACCACUUGUUAGGACCGGAAAUAAGCAGGUGUAAAUGCGGAAGCUAGCAAAGCAAACCUCGAAAGACCACGAGUAAGAAGACAAGGAGAAAUAUACCAAAAGACACAAAGAUUUAACGUGGUUCGGUCAAUCGACCUACGUCCACAAAGGAGAUGAGCAAUCCACUAUAAACAUGAGUUUACAAAAUACAGAGGGAAACAACCUCAACAAAAUUCACUCAGAAUACAUGGAAGGUUAACACAAGC